rnacentral:tRNA from 1 species
AAUAAAAUGGCUGAGUUAUAAGCGAUAAAUUGUAAAUUUAUUAACAAGAUUAUUUCUUUUUUAUUA